AGCCUCUCUCUGUCCCUCCCUUGCUCGCUGGCUCCCUCCAGGAUCCAAUUACAGUGGAUAAAGGAGACACUAAAGGAACAAUGCACACUGGUGCCAAAAUGAACCAAAAUGGAUCUGCUUCUUCGGGUAGAUUGUUCUACAGCUGGAGGCCACCACUGAAUAGGCUCUUUUCUCUUACAGCACAGCCUCCUUCACUUGAAAAGCACGCGUUGAGUAAACCCUGAUCUUGAGCUGUGAGAAAGAGCCUUAAUGGUUAACUCAGAAAUACACUAGGAGCCCACGAGGGUGACAAAGCAGGGUGCUUUUAUCGCCCACUCAGAGUUAGCAAUCUUACAGCCAUGCCCUGAACUGUUGCUGGACUGUUUCAAUGACAACCCCUUAUUCACUACACUGAAUUCCUGUCUCAGUCCUCAAGUGCAAACUAAAAUAUAGGUUUGCAUUGUGUUGUCUAUUUGAGGAUUGCUUCCCACACCCCACCCCACUCCUGCCUUAAAUUAAACAAUAGCUCUGGACUGAAAAGAAAAAGCUUUCAUGCCUAAUAAAAAGCAAAAUGGAAAAAAAAAG